AAUCUUCUACCCCUUUAAAGAAAAAAAAAUUGAAACGCCCCUAAAUGCUCUCAAACCCCUUCGUCUGAAUGCUAAUUCCAGCGAGAAAAAGGGGGCACCACGGUGGCAACGGGCGAAACCCAGGUACGAAUGUACGGAGCUUGGUGGUCGUACGGUGCUACGCUGACGGUGAGGACAAAGGGCUGCUUGGUGGCUACUGCAGCGCGCCUUGCUGCUUAGGGUUUGCUGUUUGGCUAAACCUAUGUUUAUGUUUUGGGCCAUUGGGCCACAUUGUAAAUGGGUAUUUGGGUCUUGCCUUAGUUGGGCUAUUUGUAAGAGUUUUGGACUGUUAUAAGAUUUAAAUUUUGGUAUUGUAUUUGGGUUAA